GACGAACGCUGGCGGCGUGCCUAAUACAUGCAAGUAGAACGCUGAAGGAGGAGCUUGCUUCUCUGGAUGAGUUGCGAACGGGUGAGUAACGCGUAGGUAACCUGCCUGGUAGCGGGGGAUAACUAUUGGAAACGAUAGCUAAUACCGCAUAAGAGUAGAUGUUGCAUGACAUUUGCUUAAAAGGUGCAAUUGCAUCACUACCAGAUGGACCUGCGUUGUAUUAGCUAGUUGGUGGGGUAACGGCUCACCAAGGCGACGAUACAUAGCCGACCUGAGAGGGUGAUCGGCCACACUGGGACUGAGACACGGCCCAGACUCCUACGGGAGGCAGCAGUAGGGAAUCUUCGGCAAUGGACGGAAGUCUGACCGAGCAACGCCGCGUGAGUGAAGAAGGUUUUCGGAUCGUAAAGCUCUGUUGUAAGAGAAGAACGAGUGUGAGAGUGGAAAGUUCACACUGUGACGGUAUCUUACCAGAAAGGGACGGCUAUCUACGUG
rnacentral:rRNA from 1 species